CUACCGCGUCAGGAGGGUAAUCUAUGCGGAUGUCAGAAAGAAGCGGCGUCCGGAUCUCAUCGUAGAACCUGCAGAGGGAGGACAGAGAGGAUCAGGGCCCGGCUGGGCUACAGGUGGUCAGUCCUGAGGUUCCCUGACUUAGAAACUGAUGACCAGGACCAGCUUCGGGUUCAUAGUUAAUGUGUGCCCUGUAAAGCGCUCAUCCACCUGCUAGAACACGGUAUGAGAUGGCCGAAUAGAGGACAUGAGAGUUUCAGGAAACACUGGGUCACAUGCUGCUACCAACCGUAGUGUAUCAGGUCGCUGCAUCCUCACAACCGCUGUUCUCUUCUAAAACUCUUCAAUUAAGAAAAGGAAACCAUAAGACCAUGAGAAGAGGGAAAAAGUCUACAUCUGUAAAGCAGAUACUGUGGCAAACGCUGCCGUGUUCGUGAGUACCGUCAUGAGACGCUUGAGGAAACUCAAGGUGUAUGAAGUUAAGGAUCUUCGAUGUGGUUGCCAUAGCAAAGGCCCUGGGCACAAUGUUUACCCUCGGCUCAGCCCUGGGCAGGAACCUACAUGUCGAAUAUUGCUGCUCCUAAGUUAUCCCAUCAGUGGAACCAGGAUGACAGGCCUGCCUCAUCGGCCCUGAACACUAAACCAGGAACAAGUUGAAAGACGCUCAGAAGGGAGGGAGCGGGGCCCAUGGCUGAUGUGUUUGCUAUCGUUUGGUUCUCAGUGAGAUGCACAAGGAGAAUUCAGAGAAGCACUGGCUUCGGGCAGGGGGUGGUACAGAAUGUGUUUGCUCUAGCCCCCCGCUGGCCUUUCCCUGGGUAUUGUGGACCUUGAUUCAUAUCCUAGAUCCAGACAUCUGCCUCUCCAUCCAUGGGAAACACCCACCACUUUCCAACUCUCCCUUCUAAACCUCUCUCUCUCUCUCUCUCUCUCUCUCUCUCUCUCUCUCUCUCUCUCUCUCUGUGUGUGUGUGUCUCUGUCUCUGUCUCCCUCACUCCCCAGACAUCUUUCCAUCCUGUAACUAGGUUCUCACUUAAGAUCCCACAGUCCAACUCUUGUAUUCCAAAGGAAACUCCAAAAUCCACUGCAGAAAACUAGAAUGGGUGCAUCUGCGUUUACGACUCUCUGUUAUACCCUCUCCCAAAGUGCUUAAUGAGCUGAGGUCUUCUGGCCCGUGCAUGUGUUUGUCCAGCUCCCUGGUGAUCCUUGCUGAAUUACUGUUCCAUACAUUCCCACCAUUUCUUCAUUUUGGGGGCCUGGAAAAGCAGCAGAGUCUAAAGACAUUGCCAGAAAUACAAAGCAGGAGGAGGAAGAGGAGUAGGAGAGGGAAAGAAGAGGAGGAGGAAGAG